rnacentral:rRNA from 1 species
UAGAGUUUGUUCAGGCUCAGGACGAACGCUGCGGCGUGCCUAAUACAUGCAAGUCGAGCGGACUUGACGGAAGCUUGCUUCCGUUCAAGUUAGCGGCGGACGGGUGAGUAACACGUGGGUAACCUGCCUGUAAGACUGGGAUAACUCCGGGAAACCGGGGCUAAUACCGGAUAUUCUUUUUCUUCGCAUGAAGAAGAAUGGAAAGGCGGCUUUUAGCUGUCGCUUACAGAUGGACCCGCGGCGCAUUAGCUAGUUGGUGAGGUAACGGCUCACCAAGGCAACGAUGCGUAGCCGACCUGAGAGGGUGAUCGGCCACACUGGGACUGAGACACGGCCCAGACUCCUACGGGAGGCAGCAGUAGGGAAUCUUCCGCAAUGGACGAAAGUCUGACGGAGCAACGCCGCGUGAGUGAAGAAGGUUUUCGGAUCGUAAAGCUCUGUUGUCAGGGAAGAACAAGUACGGAAGUAACUGUCCGUACCUUGACGGUACCUGACCAGAAAGCCACGGCUAACUACGUGCCAGCAGCCGCGGUAAUACGUAGGUGGCAAGCGUUGUCCGGAAUUAUUGGGCGUAAAGCGCGCGCAGGCGGCUUCUUAAGUCUGAUGUGAAAGCCCACGGCUCAACCGUGGAGGGUCAUUGGAAACUGGGAGGCUUGAGUGCAGAAGAGGAGAGCGGAAUUCCACGUGUAGCGGUGAAAUGCGUAGAGAUGUGGAGGAACACCAGUGGCGAAGGCGGCUCUCUGGUCUGUAACUGACGCUGAGGCGCGAAAGCGUGGGGAGCGAACAGGAUUAGAUACCCUGGUAGUCCACGCCGUAAACGAUGACGUAGCUAAGUGUUGGAGGGUUUCCGCCCUUGCAGUGCUGCAG